AAUUAAAACAGAAACCAUUUCCUGACUCUACACCAGAGACUCUCCGAACAGAGUGCAGCCAGACAGAGACAGUGAUUUCACAGUGACAUAUCAGAAGGCGCGCAAGAAAGGGCAACAGAAACAUCCGAUAUGAACAAACACGGAAGCGGAAGUGUCCAACAACAACAGGAGCAUCACACAGCAGCAGCAGCAAGAACACCAGCAACAGUGAAGAUGGAAAUGUCAGCAGUGAUGACAGGAACUACAACAGCAACACCAGCAGCAAUGACACUGGAACUGGGAACAGGGACAGUGACAGGAGCAGCUUUCAGCUGCAGCCAAGAAGUCUUCUGUCACGGAGGCAGACACAGAGGCCAGGAUGAGGAGCUGGCUAAAGUACAAUGGAGACCGGGAUGGGGGGCGGAAGAGGAGGGCAGAAAAGAAAAAGGAUGCAGAGCCUGCAAAUGCUGCUACAAUUGCUGCUGCUAGUGCUGCCAGUGACAUUGAAGAAGAUUAAGAGAUUGUUUGAGCCAUCUUUUUGCAUUCUAGACAGAUAUUUGAACACAAAUAAGCUUAAUAAACACUGUUGAAUGUAAAGCUAGUUGUUUCUUUUUUCUUUCUUUCUCAAAUUCAAUUUGUUAUAGCUUUAGGCAACGUCAUUCAUGUUGUAAUGUUGCACAUAUACUGUGCAUACAACCCCAGUAGUAUGCUGACGUUGGCCCAGCGUAAUUUUGUCCAUCGA